UACGGAGGGUCCAAGCGUUAUCCGGAAUCAUUGGGUUUAAAGGGUCCGUAGGCGGCCAAAUAAGUCAGUGGUGAAAGCCCAUCGCUCAACGAUGGAACGGCCAUUGAUACUGUUUGGCUUGAAUUAUUAGGAAGUAACUAGAAUAUGUAGUGUAGCGGUGAAAUGCUUAGAGAUUACAUGGAAUACCAAUUGCGAAGGCAGGUUACUACUAAUAUAUUGACGCUGAUGGACGAAAGCGUGGGGAGCGAACAGG
rnacentral:rRNA from 2 species